rnacentral:siRNA from 1 species
AGGAGCAGCUGAUCUUGUCCUUCA